UACGUAGGGUGCGAGCGUUGUCCGGAAUUAUUGGGCGUAAAGGGCUCGUAGGCGGUUUGUCGCGUCGGGAGUGAAAACAUCGGGCUCAACUCGAUGCUUGCUUUCGAUACGGGCAGACUAGAGGUAUGCAGGGGAGAAUGGAAUUCCUGGUGUAGCGGUGAAAUGCGCAGAUAUCAGGAGGAACACCGGUGGCGAAGGCGGUUCUCUGGGCAUUACCUGACGCUGAGGAGCGAAAGUGUGGGAGCGAACAGG
rnacentral:rRNA from 1 species